rnacentral:rRNA from 1 species
UACGUGAUCCUCAAGCGUUAUCCGGAUUUAUUGGGCGUAAAGCGCUCGUAGGCGGCUAGAUAAGUCUUUGGUUAAAAACUCACGGCUCAACCUUGAGGGUGCCAGGGAUACUAUCUAGCUAGAGGACGUUAGGGGCUGAUAGAACGGUCGGUGUAGGGGUGAAAUCCGUUGAUAUCGACCGGAAUACCAAAAGCGAAGGCAUUCAGCUGGGACGAUCCUGACGCUGAGGAGCGAAAGCGUGGGUA